rnacentral:rRNA from 1 species
AACGAACGCUGGCGGCAGGCCUAACACAUGCAAGUCGAACGCCCCGCAAGGGGAGUGGCGGACGGGUGAGUAACACGUGGGAACGUGCCCUAAGGUUUGGAAUAUUCCCGGGAAACUGGGGAGCAAUACCAAAUGUGACCGCAAGGUGAAAGAUUUAUCGCCUUAGGAUCGGCCCGCGUCGGAUUAGCUUGUUGGUGGGGUAAAAGCCUACCAAGGCGACGAUCCGUAGCUGGUCUGAGAGGACGACCAGCCACACUGGGACUGAGACACGGCCCAGACUCCUACGGGAGGCAGCAGUGGGGAAUCUUGGACAAUGGGCGCAAGCCUGAUCCAGCCAUGCCGCGUGGAUGAUGAAGGCCUUAGGGUUGUAAAAUCCUUUCGUCAGGGACGAUAAUGAC